UACGUAGGGGGCGAGCGUUAUCCGGAAUUACUGGGCGUAAAGCGCACGCAGGUGGUUCGCCAAGUUUGGAGUGACAGUUGUCGGCUCAACCGACAAAGGACUUCAAAAACUGGUGAACUUGAGGACGAGAGAGGAACAUGGAACUCCAGGUGUAGUAGUGAAAUGCGUAGAUAUCUGGAAGAACACCAAUGGCGAAGGCAAUGUUCUGGCUCGUUUCUGACGCUCAGGUGCGAAAGCCAGGGGAGCGAACGGG
rnacentral:rRNA from 1 species